rnacentral:rRNA from 1 species
AGUGAACGCUGGCGGUAUGCCUAACACAUGCAAGUCGAACGGCAGCACAGUAAGAGCUUGCUCUUACGGGUGGCGAGUGGCGGACGGGUGAGGAAUACAUCGGAAUCUACUUUUUCGUGGGGGAUAACGUAGGGAAACUUACGCUAAUACCGCAUACGACCUACGGGUGAAAGCAGGGGAUCUUCGGACCUUGCGCGAUUGAAUGAGCCGAUGUCGGAUUAGCUAGUUGGCGGGGUAAAGGCCCACCAAGGCGACGAUCCGUAGCUGGUCUGAGAGGAUGAUCAGCCACACUGGAACUGAGACACGGUCCAGACUCCUACGGGAGGCAGCAGUGGGGAAUAUUGGACAAUGGGCGAAAGCCUGAUCCAGCCAUACCGCGUGGGUGAAGAAGGCCUUCGGGUUGUAAAGCCCUUUUGUUGGGAAAGAAAAGAAGCAGGUUAAUACCCCGCUGUUCUGACGGUACCCAAAGAAUAAGCACCGGCUAACUUCGUG